rnacentral:rRNA from 1 species
UGGGGAAUCUUGGACAAUGGGGGCAACCCUGAUCCAGCGACGCCGCGUGGGUGGUAAGGCCUUCGGGUUGUAAAGCCCUUUCACCGGGGAAGAUGAUGACAUUACCCGGAGAAGACGCGACGGCUAACUCCGUGCCAGCAGCCGCGGUAAGACGGAGGGCGCUAGCGUUGUUCGGAAUCACUGGGCGUAAAGGGCGCGUAGGCGGCUGUAUAUGUCGAGGGUGAAAGCCCGGCGCUCAACCCCGGAACGGCCUUCCAGACUGGGCAGGUCGUGACCGGAAGAGGAGGGUGGAAUACCCAGUGUAGAGGUGAAAUUCGUAGAUAUUGGGUGGAACACCAGUGGCGAAAGCGGCUCUCUGGUCCGGAUCUGACGCUGAGGCGCGAAAGCGUGGGGAGCAAACAGGAUUAGAUACCCGUGUAGUCC